AACAAAAUGCCUGAUUUAAUGGGGUCAUCUUGAUGAGAUGGAAUAUAUUAAUAUUUUUGUUU
rnacentral:tRNA from 1 species